GAGAACGUGCAGAAACCAGAUGACAAAGAUGCAGUGAAGACAACAAGAUGCUGCCUUCCUUCUUAGGAAAGAGUGAAUGAACUGUUCCAGAACGCGUCAGUUCAGCUGGUUUAAAGACACCUGACAACAGGUCAAACUAUGAAGAUGGAGCUUCUUUGGGAUUUUAUAUGACAGCUGAUGGACGUUUUCAGACAGCCUCCUGUCCUCAGGACUGCGUUAUCAUCUCGGCAAGGACUUCCCCGGCGCUCGGGCCUGUAUCUAAUGGCACUGUCAAGGCGAAACAGGAAAAACACAAGACGUGAGAUCAAGGUUCGGACGGGCCAGACAAAUGACAGAGGUUAGGAGUUACACGGAGCAUCUUUCAUCGCGUCCUUCCCAGCAUCACAGCAGAGAUGAGAAAGAGAAGAAAAAUUGAAGGUACUGUUGGGCGCUAGCGCUACGUAUGCAUUAGAGAGGAAAGCAAUAUGCACUUUUACAUUUGAUGAAUGACUCUGCUGGGAUAUCUAAUCCUCUUCCUCCAUCACCUCUCUGGAAAAAAAAGAUUAGCGCAAGCUUAUUUUAGAAUUCAACUCCCUUAGUCAACAUCUAUUUUAUCCAUGCAAACGAGAUGGGAAUUAAAAGUACAUUCGCUGAAA